ACUCAAAUGAAUUGACGGGGGUUCGCACAAGCGGUGGAGCAUGUGGUUUAAUUCGAUGAUACGCGAGGAACCUUACCAAGGCUUAAAUGUAUUACGAAUAAGCUGGAAACAGCUUAGUCUAUACGACGUAUUACAAGGUGCUGCAUGGUUGUCUUCAGUUCGUGCUGUGAAGUGUUUGGUUAAGUCCUAUAACGAGCGCAACCCCUAUUGUUAGUUGCCAUCGGGUAGAGCCGGGGACUCUAACAAAACUGCCUGUGUAAACAGUGAGGAAGGUGGGGAUGAUGUCAAAUCAUCAUGGCCUCUAUGCCUUGGGCUACACACGUGCUACAAUGGCGGGUUACAAAGGGCAGCCACUGGGUGAUCAGGAGCUAAUCCCUAAAACCAGUCUCAGUUCGGAUUGGAGUCUGCAAUUCGACUCCAUGAAGCUGGAAUCGCUAGUAAUCGCGCAUCAGCAAUGGCGCGGUGAAUAAGUUCUCGAACCUUGUACACACCGCCCGU
rnacentral:rRNA from 1 species